rnacentral:rRNA from 1 species
ACGGGGCCCGCACAAGCGGUGGAGCAUGUGGUUUAAUCGAAGCAACGCGAAGAACCUUUACAGGUCUUGACAUCCCGAUGCUAUUUCUAGAGAUAGAAAGUUACUUCGGUACAUCGGUGACAGGUGGUGCAUGGUUGUCGUCAGCUCGUGUCGUGAGAUGUUGGGUUAAGUCCCGCAACGAGCGCAACCCCUAUUGUUAGUUGCCAUCAUUCAGUUGGGCACUCUAGCGAGACUGCCGGUAAUAAACCGGAGGAAGGUGGGGAUGACGUCAAAUCAUCAUGCCCCUUAUGACCUGGGCUACACGCGUGCUACAAUGGUUGGUACAACGAGUUGCGAGUCGGUGACGGCGAGCUAAUCUCUUAAAGCCAAUCUCAGUUCGGAUUGUAGGCUGCAACUCGCCUACAUGAAGUCGGAAUCGCUAGUAAUCGCGGAUCAGCACGCCCGCGGUCGAAUACGUUCCCGGGCCUU